AUGGCGGCGUCCCACCAGCUACUCGUCUUCCUCCUUGUGGCGCUCGCCGCCAGCGGCAGCAACGGCGCCGUCGCCGCUGCGGGCGACGAUGACGAUGUGCAGCUGCGGAAGGUAGCCCUGUCACAGGCCAUCGAGGUCCUUUCCCGCUACCGCCCGGAGACCACCGAUGCCGAGACCCUGAAGCGGGCCGUGGCGGUGGUGAACCGGGAGGCGCAGGGGUACUGGAAGCCCAUCUUCAACAACGUCAACAAGGUGAUGCACAGCGGCGUCGACGACUGCACCAAGGACGAGGCGUUCGCCACGGCCAAGGCGCUGCUCAACCGCGAGCUCGGCCAAGGCCCAGACGCCAUCAAGAUGGACUUCGAGUACGUGUGA
rnacentral:rRNA from 1 species